GCUGGUGCCUAAGGUGCAAGACAAAGUCCUCUUUACUUUUCCCUCUGCUUUUCUCAAACAGAAGAAUGUUUCAUCAUAGCCACAGUAGCUAAGAAUGUGUUAGGUUUCCCCUGAGGCCAGCACAUCUCAGAGCCCGAGGCCUACGGCAUACUCCUUGGGUAUUGCUGCUGGUUAUUCAGGGACCAAGGGCUCUUUAGUUAGCAGGUGAUGAAUCCUGUCAAGACUGAGUCAUUCCCUUCAAUGCAGUAGAUACCCUUUUGGCCCAGGGUGCAUCUAGAAAUGUCAUCCAGGAGCUAGGGCCUGGAGCAGGGUCCUCAUGACUCUGCCCAGAGCCCUAUCCUACUGUGGCUAAGGUGGUAUCCAAGAUGCAAGAUGAAGUCCUCUAAAAGAGUAUAUUUAACAUUCCAUUUUAGACAAUGUGAUAGUUGUGAGGUUUUUGUGUAAGAGAAGUAAGGGAAAUUAAUCUACAAUGAAGAUCAAGACCGAAGAGGAAAGGAGUCUUCUCUGGUGCCCUUUAGUCUUUUACAACUUUUGACAAAUCAAUAUAGGUAAAGAAAUGGCUAAUCUAUAAUCAGAGGAACAAAGGUUAUGGCUUGUAGGUUAUAGCUGGCUGUCACAUAACUCAUGUCUCAUAAUCACAUUCUUUUAAGGCUCAAAAUAAUUUAAGAAGUUCCAACAGCUUUGAUUUUGAAUUACUUAUUUUUACAACUUCAUAAAGAGCUCUACCCUUUGCUUCUCUAGCCUGCCUGCUUUUAUCCCAGUUCAGGUCACCAUCAUUUCUUGUCCGUAUUAUUUCAACUGCCUCCUAACUCUUCUCCAUCUUUCUUUACAUGCCCUCCCUUCAAUCCAUCAUCACACAGAAGAGUGAUCUUUCUCCACUUGAUUUUAGCCAAAAGGCCGAGAAGCGAUAGGGGAAGAGCCAUCUUUCUCAAAUACACAUGUACCUCCUGUGUUGAAAACACCAAUGAUACUCCUGGUCCUUGGGAUUAGGAGCAAACUCGUUACAUGGCUUCCAAGGUUCUUCAUAAUCUGAAUCCUGCUUGCCCUGUGGCCUUGUCUCAUCCCAUUGCCCAAUCUCCUCACUCGCCAUCCCACUCCCACUCCCACCUCCUAUUUCUGCUCCAACCAUGCUGUAUUGAAAAGACCACGUAGUAUCUCACCUCUGGCCCUCACACUAUUUUCUCUGCUUAAAUAUUUUUCCCUCCAUCUUUUCCUUCAGGUCUCAGCUACAGCAUCAUGCCUCAAAGUAAACUUAACCUCAUGCCCAAGGCUGAAGCAGAGAAUUAUUGCUUGAAUGGGGAGGCAGAGGUUGCAGUGAGCCAAGAUCGUGCCACUGGACUCCAGCUGGGUGACAGAGUGAAACUCUGUCUCAAACAAAAUACAACAACAACAACAAAAGAGCUUAAGCAACUACUUCACAGUCCAGAGAAUGAUAGUGAUUGGGGC
rnacentral:lncRNA from 10 species